rnacentral:miRNA from 1 species
AAUGGCACCUUCAUCCGUGCACU